rnacentral:rRNA from 1 species
AUUGAACGCUGGCGGCGGGCCUAACACAUGCACGCCGAGCGGCGCGGCGGACGGGUGCGUACUGCCUAGGAAUCUGCCUGGUAGUGGGGGAUACCGUCCGGACACGGGCCCUAUUAACUCAUACUUUACGGUGCGCCUAGGUAGGAUUCGCUAGUUGGUGGGGUAACGGCCUACCAAGGCGACGAUCCGUAACUGGUCUGAGAGGAGGGUCAGUCACACUGGAACUGAGACACGGCCCAGACUCCUACGGGAGGCAGCAGUGGGGAAUAGUGGGCAAUGGGCGAAAGCCUGAUCCAGCCAUGCCUCGUGUGUGAAGAAGGUCUUCGGAUUGUAAAGCACUUUAAGUUGGGAGGCGGUACCAACAGAAUAAGCACCGGCUAACUUCGUGCCAGCAGCCGCGGUAAUUC